rnacentral:rRNA from 1 species
GACGAACGCUGGCGGCGUGCUUAACACAUGCAAGUCGAACGGAAAGGCCCUGCUUUUGUGGGGUGCUCGAGUGGCGAACGGGUGAGUAACACGUGAGUAACCUGCCCUUGACUUUGGGAUAACUUCAGGAAACUGGGGCUAAUACCGGAUAGGAGCUCCUGCUGCAUGGUGGGGGUUGGAGAGUUUCGGCGGUUGGGGGUGGACUCGCGGCUUAUCAGCUUGUUGGUGGGGUAGUGGCUUACCAAGGCUUUGACGGGUAGCCGGCCUGAGAGGGUGACCGGCCACAUUGGGACUGAGAUACGGCCCAGACUCCUACGGGAGGCAGCAGUGGGGAAUAUUGCACAAUGGGCGGAAGCCUGAUGCAGCAACGCCGCGUGCGGGAUGACGGCCUUCGGGUUGUAAACCGCUUUCGCCUGUGACGAAGCGUGAGUGACGGUAAUGGGUAAAGAAGCACCGGCUAACUACGUG